AGCUACGCUUUUGUUUUCUGGGAUCAGUUUGCUCAUUGUCAUUAGGCUAACAACAACGUCGAGUCGCGGAUUUUGAUUCUUCAAAAUGUCUAAUCGGGAAAGUAGAGAAGUGCUGUGGGAUGAUCAUAGCAUUCCAGAGACAGUGAUCGACGUUCCUCAAUUCGAAGAGGAAAUGCAGUUACCCGAGGAGAGGCAAUUUUUGGCUGCUUGCAGGCCAGCUAAUCCAAUGCUGGCAAACUAAACUCAAUGCUAUUCUUUAUUUUAAGUGGCUUAAGUGAAAAGAAAUUUAUUAUUAUUUAUAAGAAAAAGCAUCAAUUGUGAAACUCAAAUGCUAUCAAGAUAUAUUUUAAAUUUAAAACUUCUUAUCAUAAACAACUAUUUUAUAUUAUAAGCAAAUUUUUGAUGAAGAUUGCAUGAAUAACAUAUAUAUUUGAACUUUAAAAUGCUUCAACAAUAUUAAAUAUAACAUGCACUAAAGCAAAUGAAACUCUUUUACAUUUGACAAAUAAAAAGCUUUGACAGCAAUU